GGAUAACCUACCUAUAAGACUGGGAUAACUUCGGGAAACCGGAGCUAAUACCGGAUAAUAUUUUGAACCGCAUGGUUCAAAAGUGAAAGACGGUCUUGCUGUCACUUAUAGAUGGAUCCGCGCUGCAUUAGCUAGUUGGUAAGGUAACGGCUUACCAAGGCAACGAUGCAUAGCCGACCUGAGAGGGUGAUCGGCCACACUGGAACUGAGACACGGUCCAGACUCCUACGGGAGGCAGCAGUAGGGAAUCUUCCGCAAUGGGCGAAAGCCUGACGGAGCAACGCCGCGUGAGUGAUGAAGGUCUUCGGAUCGUAAAACUCUGUUAUUAGGGAAGAACAUAUGUGUAAGUAACUGUGCACAUCUUGACGGUACCUAAUCAGAAAGCCACGGCUAACUACGUGCCAGCAGCCGCGGUAAUACGUAGGUGGCAAGCGUUAUCCGGAAUUAUUGGGCGUAAAGCGCGCGUAGGCGGUUUUUUAAGUCUGAUGUGAAAGCCCACGGCUCAACCGUGGAGGGUCAUUGGAAACUGGAAAACUUGAGUGCAGAAGAGGAAAGUGGAAUUCCAUGUGUAGCGGUGAAAUGCGCAGAGAUAUGGAGGAACACCAGUGGCGAAGGCGACUUUCUGGUCUGUAACUGACGCUGAUGUGCGAAAGCGUGGGGAUCAAACAGGAUUAGAUACCCUGGUAGUCCACGCCGUAAACGAUGAGUGCUAAGUGUUAGGGGGUUUCCGCCCCUUAGUGCUGCAGCUAACGCAUUAAGCACUCCGCCUGGGGAGUACGACCGCAAGGUUGAAACUCAAAGGAAUUGACGGGGACCCGCACAAGCGGUGGAGCAUGUGGUUUAAUUCGAAGCAACGCGAAGAACCUUACCAAAUCUUGACAUCCUUUGACAACUCUAGAGAUAGAGCCUUCCCCUUCGGGGGACAAAGUGACAGGUGGUGCAUGGUUGUCGUCAGCUCGUGUCGUGAGAUGUUGGGUUAAGUCCCGCAACGAGCGCAACCCUUAAGCUUAGUUGCCAUCAUUAAGUUGGGCACUCUAAGUUGACUGCCGGUGACAAACCGGAGGAAGGUGGGGAUGACGUCAAAUCAUCAUGCCCCUUAUGAUUUGGGCUACACACGUGCUACAAUGGACAAUACAAAGGGCAGCGAAACCGCGAGGUCAAGCAAAUCCCAUAAAGUUGUUCUCAGUUCGGAUUGUAGUCUGCAACUCGACUACAUGAAGCUGGAAUCGCUAGUAAUCGUAGAUCAGCAUGCUACGGUGAAUACGUUCCCGGGUCUUGUACACACCGCCCGUCACACCACGAGAGUUUGUAACACCCGAAGCCGGUGGAGUAACCUUUUAGGAGCUAGCCGUCGAAGGUGGGACAAAUGAUUGGGGUGAAGUCGUAACAAGGUAGCCGUAUCGGAAGGUGCGGCU
rnacentral:rRNA from 1 species